rnacentral:tRNA from 1 species
ACCUUUCUAGUAAAAUAUUAUUACGCUAUCUUGAUAAGGUAGAAUUCCGUUUGGGAGAGGUA